UAGAGUUUGAUCAUGGCUCAGAUUGAACGCUGGCGGCAGGCCUAACACAUGCAAGUCGAGCGGUAACAGAAAGUAGCUUGCUACUUUGCUGACGAGCGGCGGACGGGUGAGUAAUGCCUGGGAAUAUGCCUUGAUGUGGGGGAUAACUAUUGGAAACGAUAGCUAAUACCACAUAGUGUCUUCGGACCAAAGAGGGGGAUCUUCGGACCUCUCGCGUCAAGAUUAGCCCAGGUGAGAUUAGCUAGUUGGUGGGGUAAGAGCUCACCAAGGCGACGAUCUCUAGCUGGUCUGAGAGGAUGAUCAGCCACACUGGAACUGAGACACGGUCCAGACUCCUACGGGAGGCAGCAGUGGGGAAUAUUGCACAAUGGGCGAAAGCCUGAUGCAGCCAUGCCGCGUGUAUGAAGAAGGCCUUCGGGUUGUAAAGUACUUUCAGUCGUGAGGAAGGGAGUGUAGUUAAUAGCUGCAUAUCUUGACGUUAGCAACAGAAGAAGCACCUGCUAACUCCGUGCCAGCAGCCGCGGUAAUACGGAGGGUGCGAGCGUUAAUCGGAAUUACUGGGCGUAAAGCGCAUGCAGGUGGUUCAUUAAGUCAGAUGUGAAAGCCCGGGGCUCAACCUCGGAACUGCAUUUGAAACUGGUGAACUAGAGUGCUGUAGAGGGGGGUAGAAUUUCA
rnacentral:rRNA from 1 species